CACGGGGGCAACCCUGGUGGCGAGUGGCGAACGGGUGAGUAAUACAUCGGAACGUGCCCAGUAGUGGGGGAUAGCUCGGCGAAAGCCGGAUUAAUACCGCAUACGACCUACGGGUGAAAGCGGGGGAUCGCAAGACCUCGCGCUAUUGGAGCGGCCGAUGUCAGAUUAGGUUGUUGGUGGGGUAAAAGCCCACCAAGCCGACGAUCUGUAGCUGGUCUGAGAGGACGACCAGCCACACUGGGACUGAGACACGGCCCAGACUCCUACGGGAGGCAGCAGUGGGGAAUUUUGGACAAUGGGCGAAAGCCUGAUCCAGCCAUGCCGCGUGCGGGAAGAAGGCCUUCGGG
rnacentral:rRNA from 1 species